rnacentral:rRNA from 1 species
CGGUGAAUACGUUCCCGGGCCUUGUACACGCCGCCCGUCAAGCCACGGAAGCCGAGGGCGCCUGAAGUCGGGGGAUCAAAUCCCUGCCGAGGGCGAAACUGGUAACUGGGGCU